rnacentral:lncRNA from 1 species
GAUAUCAGGGACCCUGGGGAAACCAGCAGGGAGCAGAAUGAACAGGGCUAAGGGAGCAACCCAGAGUGGCUGGGUCAGGGGGCAAGGCAGAGAGGCAGACUUUUACAGCUCCCUUACCCAGCUCUGUUUCCCUUUAGAGUCUCUAAGGGCCUGUUCAAAGACGAAGAUGGAGGCCAGUGGGGAGAGGCCAAGGGAGACAGAGUCACAGGAAGAUGGAGAUUUCACAGACAUGCUUUCCCCUGCGUCAGCCUCAUCUGAGCAACAAGAUUACAGACCCACUGGGAGCAGGGAUGUGACCAUGCUUGCGUGCUCCCCUCCCACCCUGAUACAGCCCUGGGCACCUGGACAGCACUCUGGUGGACCCAGUCCAGUGUGCAGAUGAUGGCCAGGUCUGAGCAAUGGCUGGGUCCCUUACCAGCUGAGUGACCUUGUGGAGUCCCCUGACCGCUCCAAGCCUCAGUUUCCACAUCUAGAAAUUGGUGAUAUGAAAACACCUGUUUUACAGAACUGUGAAAGUCUCUUCUUGGUUAAGCCCAGACUGUCGUCCUCCAAUUGCG